rnacentral:rRNA from 1 species
GUGCAGCAGUCGCGAAAACUCCGCAAUGCUCGAAAGAGUGACGGGGGAUUCCAAGUGCCUACGCUUAGCGUAGGCUGUUCAGAUGCCUAAAAAGCAUCUGGAGUAAGGGCUGGGUAAGACGGGUGCCAUCUGCAGUGGUAAUGAAAAACUUGCUACUGCAAGGCAUAAGCCGCCGCGGUAAUACCCGCAGCCCGAGUGGUAGUCGCUUUUAUUGGGCCUAAAGCGUCCGUAGCCGGUCUGGUAAAUGCCUGGGGUAAAUCGUGGGGCCUAACCUCACGAAUUCCGGGUAGACUGCCAGACUUGGGACCGGUUGAGGGAGAGGGUACUCCAGGGGUAGGGGUGAAAUCCUGUAAUCCUUGGAGGACCACCGGUGGCGAAAGCGCUCUCCUAGGACGGUCGACGGUGAGGGACGAAAGCCAGGGGAGCAAACCGGAUUAGAUACCCCGGUAGU